rnacentral:rRNA from 1 species
AACGAACGCUGGCGGCAGGCUUAACACAUGCAAGUCGAACGGUUGUAGCAAUACAGCAGUGGCGCACGGGUGAGUAACGCGUGGAUAUCUGCCUUUUGGUUCGGAAUAACUCCGGGAAACUGGAGCUAAUACCGGAUGGUUCCUACGGGAUAAAGAUUUAUCGCCAAAAGAUGAGUCCGCGUACGAUUAGCUAGUUGGUGAGGUAAUGGCUCACCAAGGCGACGAUCGUUAGCUGGUCUGAGAGGACGAUCAGCCACACUGGGACUGAGACACGGCCCAGACUCCUACGGGAGGCAGCAGUGGGAAUAUUGGACAAUGGGGGCAACCCUGAUCCAGCCAUGCCGCGUGAGUGAUGAAGGCCUUCGGGUUGUAAAGCUCUUUUGGCGGGGACGAUGAUGACGGUACCCGCAGAAUAAGCCCCGGCUAACUUCGUGCCAGCAGCCGCGGUAAU